AGCAGCCGCGGUAAUUCCAGCUCCAAUAGCGUAUAUUAAAGUUGUUGCAGUUAAAAAGCUCGUAGUUGAAUUUCAGGCCUGGCUGGACGGUCCGCCCUUCGGGUGAGUACUGUCCGUGGUCGGGUCCUACCUUCUGGCGAAGCGUCAUGGCCUUAACCGGCCGUGGCGGGGAACCAGGACUUUUACUGUGAAAAAAUUAGAGUGUUCAAAGCAGGCAAUCGCUUGGAUACAUUAGCAUGGAAUAAUGGAAUAGGACAAUGGUUCUAUUUGUUGGUUUUUAGGACCGUUGUAAUGAUUAAUAGGGAUAGUUGGGGGCAUUAGUAUUCAAUUGUCAGAGGUGAAAUUCUUGGAUUUAUUGAAGACUAACUACUGCGAAAGCAUUUGCCAAGGAUGUUUUCAUUAAUCAAGAACGAAAGUUAGGGGAUCGAAGACGAUCAGAUACCGUCGUAGUCUUAACCAUAAACUAUGCCGACUAGGAAUCGGGCGAUGUUGAAAAAAUGACGC
rnacentral:rRNA from 1 species